GGGGCCUAGGAGGUGGAUAUGGAGGACGGGGCCUAGGAGGCGGAUAUGGAGGAUGGGGCCUAGGAGGUGGAUAUGGAGGAUGGGGAAAAGGAGGUGGAUAUGGAGGAUGGGGUCUAGGAGGUGGAUACGGUGGAGGAUGGGGUCUAGGAGGUGGAUACAGAGGUGGAUACAGAGGUGUUGUACUUAAAGGAAAAGGAUCAUACUAGUAAAUUAAGGAAAUCUUGUUCUGUACUGUUUCAAAAGGCAAAAUGGACAUUAGUUUAAGUUAAAUCUUCUUAUAAAUACAUGUAGAUAUCUAGCAAAUACAAAAUAGCCGUGUAA